GAAGGAAAAAAAAUGCAGCGUCAGAAGAACUAAAGAUAAGGAAACACUGUUAGGAUAAGGAAACACUGCAGCAUGUCUGAACGACCGAAGUCAUGGUCGAUGUGGAAGGGGAAUGACCUUCUGUGGGGUUCACUGCUCGAGGAUCUUAAGCUCUAGACCACUAGACGCAAAGUUCACCGGUGAGAAUGGGACGGACUAGCGUUACCAGUGUCUCACAGCGAUACCAGUGCCUCUCACCUCACCCGUUACAGUUGCUUCAGGAAGAUGGAGAUCCUUGCAGUUUAGGCUAAUAAAUAAAGUCAGUGGACUUGCAGUUAUCUCCAGAGAAUGAACCUGCACUGAGAAGGUGAAGCGGCGCCCGCGCCGUGCAACCUCCUGAGAUCCCCACCACUGAGGGAUGGACCACUAGCCUCACCAGGACCGCCAGAGGAAGCGACCGUCUCCUGGCCCACCAUGUUCUUGAGCAGGAUGGUGUAGACGCCCGUGUCUGAGCGCUCGGACAUGGGGAUGAGGAGCUGGGAGCCACUGUCUGAGUUGGUGAUGGUCACGUGUUUGGACACGGGAACACCAUCCUUCAGCCAAAUGACCUCCGGCAGCGGGCAAGCCUGUUAAUUUAACCCAACACCCUGACAUUAAAAUAAGACUUUUCACCUUCUAAGCCUCCCAAUAAUGUGUGUCAAAAGAAUGUAUAAUUAUAUAUUUUUAAUCCGUAGCUAAUUAGGUUAACUUCCUCUCGUAGACCAAAGGAGGGCAUUUACACUUUGAUGGAUAAUUUUAAACAUGAAUAUCAUCAAAUAUCAUCUCCCUUAAUAUAACACCUGACAAGCCUGACUCAAAUCCCAUUCACAGACACUUCUUUCACAACGUUGCAACACGUGUAACAUAAUACUAUUUUUAAUGAACUACUGGCAACACCUCUUCCACUUUGUGUCAUACCUCAAAGUUGAUGUUGACACGAACGGUAUUUCCUAAUUUCACCACCAGGAAACUUUUCAUGUUCUUGUCUUUAAACCUCGGCCGAACUAUUGAAUCAAUGAUAUUGUAUUAAUUAUUGCAUACUGGUACAAAUGUCAUGCCAAUUUCAUUUUCACAAAUUGUAGCAACCUCAUAGCAAGCCUAAUAUAUAUAUAUAUAUAAUCUAAGAUGUAUUUUGGCCAAAUUGUGUUGUCUAACCUAACUCUACACUCAGAAUCUGCAGAUUCACUGUGCCUGAUUGGCUAUAUCCUUAGCCAAUCAGAGUGCUUUUUACAUUCAAUAAUCACUAUCUGCCAUCUAUUUGACUGAGGCCUUUUUGAUGCUAAAUACAUGAAAAACCUUAAAGUAGGACUUAAGCUACGAGGCUAAGGAAAUGUAACAUCGUUCACUGUAGUGGUUCACCAAUACAAAAUGUCCAGACGUUAGACUUUAAUCUUUGCAUUGCUUACCCGGCGGCGGCAUGGCGAUGAUGUAGUUGUCAAAGCCCUGGGGCUCCCCGUCCCCGCCGUAAUUGGUGGCGAUCACCCUCACCCAGUAGGCGGCCAUGGCCUUGAGGCCGAGCACGGUGAAGGAGGUGAGCGACACCGGGUUGUUGUUGCAGCGGGACCACUCCAGCUCCUCGAUGGGCCUGAUCUCCACAUAGUACCCGUGGGCCUCGCCCGCCACUCC